UCAAAACAGGCCAAAGGGCUGGCCAAGAUCAGCCAGCUUUCCUAGUCAUCGUCAUCAUCUUGUUCCUCCUCAGCCUUUCACACCCUUUCUUUCGUCGCCCCUUCCGAUUCCUCGACUCUCUAAAUUAGGGUUUCUGAGCGGCCCCAAUUCUCGAUUUCGUUUCCCAUGGCUUUGAUACUUGUCUCCUCCAAAUCGUAGAGUAAAAGCAUAUUCAUUGCAAAAUUCGUAUUUUCUAGGAAGGAUGAAGAGUCUUAAGGAUUGGAUUUCUCCUCAGUUAGUUUCCAUGCCCCUGGUUUUGCCUCGGCCAUUGUCGGGCAGUGACAAUUUCUUUAGAGAGGAAUCCUCCAAUGAAGAGUUUGAUGACCAAGGUGCUGCUCACUCCAACACAUUGGUAACACCACGCAUCCAUCCUGCCGCAUCAAACCUCAUUUAAUAGUGAUCAGGAAAAUCAGUCAGGUCCUUCCCUGCAGCAUGUUGUAGUUGAAAAUUCUGAUCACUCUCAUAAUCGCUCUGGUAAGAAAAAGAUGGAUCCUUUGGUAAGAAUUGACGAUCUUCAAGUUGGCUUGGUCUGUCGCAAAACAAUGUUCUGGUGGCUAAGGUUCUUUAUCGUAUUCACCUGGCUACUUUGAUACGAGCAGAAGAAUCAGAUUUACAAAGAGUUAAUCUCAGGAGUGACAGAGCUAGAGCAGUGGCAGCAGAACAAUCCUUGGAUAAAGUCUUUACCUUGUAGGUAGAAUUAUGCAUUGCUAGUUAUCAGUUGUGAGUCUUUUAUGUUAUUCCUUGGGUUAUGAAAAGAAAUGAAGAAAUAUUAUGAAAGGAAAAUUACAAUCCUUGGAUACUUUUAUCAUGCAUAGUUAUGAUCAGUUGUAAUAGGAGAAUUUUAGAAGCAAACUGAUACAUUAGGUUAGUUAUGACCAAAAGAAGAGAAGGUUGGAGAUGGUUUUUAAAUUGAGGUUGCUGUAGUUUUUAAAUUAAAAUAAUAAAUUAUGUUUGGCCUA